rnacentral:rRNA from 1 species
AUUGAACGCUGGCGGCAGGCCUAACACAUGCAAGUCGAGCGAGCGGCGGACGGGUGAGUAAUGUCUGUGCCACUGCCUGGUGGAUGGGGAUCACUACUGGAAACGGUAACUAAUACCGCAUAGCUUCAGCUGUGCCGAGUUGGGAUUAUCGAGUAGGUGGGGUAAUGGCUCACCUAGGCGACGAACCCUAGCUGGUCUGAGAGGAUGACCAGCCACACUGGAACUGAGACACGGUCCAGACUCCUACGGGAGGCAGCAGUGGGGAAUAUUGCACAAUGGGCGAAAGCCUGAUGCAGCCAUGCCGCGUGUGUGAAGAAGGCCUUCGGAUUGUAAAGCACUUUCAGCGAGGAGGCGUUACUCGCAGAAGAAGCACCGGCUAACUCCGUGCCAGCAGCCGCGGUAAUAC